GACGAACGCUGGCGGCGUGCCUAAUACAUGCAAGUCGAGCGAAUCUUUUGGGAGCUUGCUCCCGAAAGAUUAGCGGCGGACGGGUGAGUAACACGUGGGCAACCUGCCUAUAAGUCUGGGAUAACUUCGGGAAACCGGAGCUAAUACCGGAUACGUUCUUUUCUCGCUUGAGAGAAGAUGGAAAGACGGUCUCGGCUGUCAUUUAUAGUUGGGCGCGCGGCGCAUUAGCUCGUUGGUGGGGUAAUGGCUCACCAAGGCGACGAUGCGUAGCCGAACUGAGGGGGUGAUCGGCAACACUGGGACUGAGACACGGCCCAGACUCCGACGGGAGGCAGCAGUAGGGAAUCUUCCGCAAUGGACGAAAGUCUGACGGAGCAACGCCGCGUGAACGAAGAAGGCCUUCGGGUCGUAAAGUUCUGUUGUUAGGGAAGAACAAGUACCAGAGUAACUGCUGGUACCUUGACGGUACCUAACCAGAAAGCCACGGCUAACUACGUGCCAGCAGCCGCCGUAACAC
rnacentral:rRNA from 1 species